AUAGAAUGUUCAGCUGUUAUUUUUUGCCUACUCUUUUGUUGUUAUAGUUGUCUUGAGUCCUCUGUCUCCAUGGCACAACAUAUUGUUCAACCAAUGACAUUCCAACUAUUACUGCUUAAUACUGGUUCAACCAAUGACAUUCCAACCCUUGUGGUUCGGCCCUUCCCCGGACCCCGCGCAUAGCGGGAGCUUAGUGCACCGGGCUGCCCCUACUGGUUGUUUCCACCACAAAUGAGAGAUCAAGACUAGGCUACGUGCUGGCUGCUGCUACUUAGUACAACUUUUUAUUAUGUAGUAAGAGGAAUUGAUUAAUGGCAUCCAGUGGAUGCAGAAGCCAGAAGUACAUAAUAUAAGGAAAUUAAAACAGCUCCAUACAAAGAGAUCUAGACUAAAAGGAUAGGGAGCUGACAAAAACUAAGAGGCACUCUUGAGAGCUUAGAGGUGUAAGAUUAUGCCAACUGAAUAAGUUAAAAAUACACCUAGACUUUACAGAGUGCGUAGGAGUUGAUACACCAUCAAAACAUCGUCUAUUCCUUUCUGACCAUAUACACCAAAAUAUACUGGUUGAUAUCAUCCUCCAGAUCUUCCUGAUGGUUUUAUCAACUUUCCAAAGGCUCCAGCUCUCAUAGGCAUCCUUAAUGUUGUUUGGCAUAACCGAAGAAAGUCCAAAAAUAGAGAGGAACGUAUUCCAAAUGUUUGCAACUAUUUGGCAUGUAGGAAGAGGUAUUUGUUGGUUUCCAGACAUUGAUGGCACGUUUGUCAUCUAUUCACUGUCUGAAUGUUCCUCCUGCUUAAGUUAUCCUGUGGCAGGCUUCAGAGAUUGCUGUCCAAGGGAAACCAUUUGAGUCUUGGGAGUAGUUUUUUAUUAUCCAAGAUGAGCUUCCAGGGCCAUUGCUCAGCAUUCCCAAACUUAGUGAAGAUUUAUAGCCUCCUUCACUGUGUGUAUCCCCUUCUUGCCCUUCGAUUUCUGUUCCUAUCUAUCGUUUCUUUUACUUCGAUUAUCGUAUUAUUUUGUGGUAGUUACGGAUUCUUUUUUCAGAUAGCUUUAUCAUGCUUUUACAGUAUUUGGCCAUGUCUUUUAGACUGCUUUGAACGGGUUGUCCUUGUGCCGAGGGUCUACCGGAAACAGCCUCUCUACCUCCCAAACUAGGAUUGGGUCGAGGAAAGUGAAGAACUGCAGUCUUUGUAACAAAAUCAGCAGUUCCAGUAGUUUCCAGUCCUGAAAGUUCCUUCUAAGCCGUAGACCUCUUCCAAGAUUUUGUCUGGCCUGUGCAUUGAAGGAAUCAACGUUUCAGGCAAUUUGAAAUAAAUUUGGGAAAUCCAGCAUCAGAGGUGAUCCAUGGACUAUGGAGCCAUGAAUCUUUUGACAAUUUAAUUUGAUUUCCUGAACCCACCUGGUAUGUGAUAUUUUGAGAGAAGUCAUCCCAUAAAUUCCUGACCUACUUCCAUAAUCCAAUAGCAUGAGGAGCCCUAGAUAAUUUAGUACACCACUUAUCUUGUGACCCAUGUUUUGCUUUUACUACUUGCUUCCAAAGAGAAUCGUCACCUUGUCCAUAUUUCCGUAGCCCCUUCAUUAACAUGCAUUUGUUGUCAGUUGUCAGAUCUUUGAUUCCCAAGCCUCCUAGUUGUUUUGGCAUUUUCACAGUUUCCCAUUUUAUUAAGUGGAAUUUGUGCCCCAAACUCUUGCCUUCCCACAAGAAUGAUCUAAUGAUUUAGUCUAAUUGUUGCACCACCAUUUUUGAUAUUGGAAAUAGUGACCAUCAUAUAAGUAGGAAUACUUUCUUAUACACUGUUGAUCAGAGUGUGUCUUCCUCCCAUUCAUAACUAUUGCAGUUGCCGAGUAGUCAGUUUUUCUCAAACUUCUUAAUGACUCCACUCCAUGUCUCUGUACAUUUGAAUCUGGCCCCUAAUGGCAUCCCCAGGCAAGUUGUUAGUAAAUGGCCAGUGCUGCAAUAAAGAAUUCCUUCCCGUUCCACCAUAUUUGGAAAUCAUUGAUAGGAUAUAUUGUGCUUUUGAGCAUAUUAAUCUGUAAAUCAGAGAGCUUCAAAUAUAGAUAGGGUGUUGAGAUAUAAAAUAUGUGAUCUCUUAGCACUACAAAAGAGAGCAUCAUCAGCAUAGAGUAGGUGAGACAUCUCCACAGUUUCACCAGAGUUUAACCCUGAAGUUCUCUGGCUUUAUUCAGUGAUCUGCUGAGUCCUUAGCCACAAUGAAGAGAAAAGGUGAGAACCCUGCCUUAUGCCCUUUUGUGGUGAGAAGAAUCCCACAGGUUUCCUGUUCACAAUUACCGAGUAUUUCACUGUGGUGAUGCAAAAUUUAAUCCAUCUAACCCAUCUUUCUCCAAAGCCCUUUUUACUUAGUACAGUCAAUAAAUAGGAACAAUUGAUUUGAUCAAAGGCCUUUUCCAACAUCAAGCUUGCAUAGAAUUCUAGGAGUUUGUAUUUUGUUUCCAGUCAAACACUUCAUUUGCAUUAUGUGCUGCAUAAGUGGUAUGUCUGCAGUCUGCCUUGAAUGAAAGCACUUUGAUGACCUGAGACUAUUUUGCCAAUCACCUUUUUCAGUCUCUCUGCGAGGAGUUUUGCAGCUAUCUUAUAUGCACUACCAAUCAAAGUAAUAGGUCUGAAGUCUCUGAGUUCAAUUGCACCUUUCUUUGUUGGAAUAAGUGCAAUGAAGGUAGCAUUACCAGACCUAACCAUGCUGUAGUUUUGAUGGAAAUGGUUAAGGUCCCAUUACUUGAUAUCUCCCUCAUGCCAUCACUUGGUUGACAAAAUAUUUCCCUUUUAAAUCACUCAUGCUUUACAUAAUAUUUUUUACAUUA